UAGUAGACUAGACAAGGUAUAAGGAAA
rnacentral:piRNA from 1 species